ACCUGGAUAGCUCAGUGGUUAGAGCACCUGUCUGGUAGUGCAGGGGGUCCUUGGUUCGAUUCCCGGUCCAGACA